ensembl:lncRNA
GGCAAGGCAAGAGAUGCUAAAAGAUGAUCUGAUUUAGGGCUUUGUCAAUCAGGCCUUAGUGGUUGGGAUGAUACGAGAUAGACUCGUGUAUUCCCCAAGCUGAAAUCUCUUGAGCCCAAACCACUACUGGCAGUGAAUUAACCAUCUGCUAACCGUGGUGAGGCACUGCCUGGAAGAGUGCAAGCUGGACCAGGCCAAAACCAUAUCAAAGACUGCAUCCGUAAUCUGCGGUGCAAAUGAGCAUGGACACCUCUCAGGCUCAUACCCUGACUGCUUUCUGUUCACUGGUGCACACACACAGCCAGAGCAGCCUCUGCUUGGCUUGACAAGCAGAGGGCUCACAGGAGACCUGUGGUGGACACAACACCUGGCCCAGCUCUGUGGGCCCUUUGGACUGCAGGGACUGGAGUUUGGAGCACUGGACAAGGCACAGAGGAUCAUGAUCUGGAGGACAGUCUGCCUGCAACUACUGAACCCAUGUAUCCACAGAGCAACGUAAACCCAAACACCUUAAACAAAGAGGAAACUGGAACUGGGGCCAGUAAACAGCAUGUCCAAAAGGAAGAGAGUCCUGGGAGGCAAGGAAAAUCAAAGCCGUUUUCAACUCAAGUAGUUCAUGGUGACUCCUGUCGGGUAGCAUCUUUCACAGAGCUGCAACCUGACUGACCACUGAGGGAGCCCCAGUGGCUUUGAAAUAUGGCAAUAUGGACCAGGAUUCGUAUGUCUCUACUAAGGAUCUCUGGAGGAGAGAAGUAGCAGAGCUAUGAUACAAGACCUUAUCCAGACCAACCUUCUUGAGCCACUUACAUGGCAGAUAGAAUUUACUGCCUAAAUGGCCAGACCCAGAGGGUAGUGAACAGCAGUGCAACGUCCACAUGUUCAAAUUUGAAUAAGGCAGCUAGCUUCCCAUCUCCCAGUAACCCAGCUGAGGGCUGUUUUAGUGCAGACUCCUUUGAAUGUCCACACAGGGAAUGACAGAUCACAGUACUUCAUCCUACAGUAAUAGGAGGAAAAACAACAGAUCAAAGGUGUCCUCCUUAAUCUGUUUUGAUAUGUGCUCCCCUAUCUCAGUUCAUAAGGCG